rnacentral:rRNA from 1 species
AAAUAAGCAAAAGAAGGGCAUUUGAUGGAUGCCUUGGCAUAGAAAGGCGAUGAAGGACGUAACAGGCUGCGAUAAGCCUCGGGUAGCUGCCAAUAAGCUUUGAUCCGAGGAUUUCCGAAUGGGGAAACCCACUCUCUUCUAGAGAGUAUCUGCAACCGAAUUCAUAGGUUGUGGAAGCGAAACCCAGUGAACUGAAAUAUCUAAGUAGCUGGAGGAAAGGACAUCAACAGAGACUCCGUUAGUAGUGACGAGCGAACGCGGACCAGGCCAGUCCUGACGAUUUGUUAAUUAGAAUAACCUGGAAAGGUUAACCAUAGAGGGUGAUAGUCCCGUAUGAAUAGCAACAAAUUGUCAGGCUCGAGUAGGGCGGGACACGUGAAAUCCUGUCUGAACAUGGGUGGACCAGUUCAUCCAAGCCUAAGUACUCUUCUAUGACCGAUAGUGCACUAGUACCGUGAGGGAAAGGUGAAAAGAACCCCGAUAAGGGGAGUGAAAUAGAUACUGAAAUCGAAUGCCUACAAGCAGUUAGAGCUCCAUUAGGGAGUGAUAGCGUACCUUUUGUAUAAUGGGUCGGCGAGUUAAUUUUGUUGUGCAAGCUUAAGUCGUAAGAUGUAGGCGUAGCGAAAGCGAGUCCUAACAGGGCGAUUGAGUACAGCGAAUUAGACCCGAAACUAGAUGAGCUAGUCAUGGCCAGGUUGAAGGUAAGGUAACACUUACUGGAGGACCGAACUCAUUAAUGUUGCAAAAUUACGAGAUGAGCUGUGAUUAGGGGUGAAAGACUAAACAAAUCUAGAUAUAGCUGGUUCUCCGCGAAAUCUAUUUAGGUAGGGCGUCGAAUGAUUACCGUUGGGGGUAGAGCACUGUCAAGGCUAGGGGGUCCAAAAGACUUACCAAACCUUAACAAACUCCAAAUACCAACGAGUACAGUUCGGCAGGCAGACGGCGGGUGCUAAGGUCCGUCGUCGAGAGGGAAACAGCCCAGACCAUCGUCUAAGGUCCCUAAAUUAUCACUAAGUGGGAAAGGAAGUGGAGAGGCCAAAACAACCAGGAGGUUGGCUUAGAAGCAGCCAUCCUUUAAAGAAAGCGUAAUAGCUCACUGGUCUAAUUAAGCCUUUCUGCGCCGAAAAUGUAACGGGGCUAAAGUGAUAUACCGAAGACAUGGAUUCCUAGGCAAUGUGCCUAGGAGUGGUAGCGGAGCGUUGUGUAAGUCUGUGAAGGUGAACCGUUAGGUUUGCUGGAGAUAUCACAAGUGAGAAUGCCGACAUGAGUAACGAUAAAAAAUGUGAGAAACAUUUUCGCCGAAAAUCUAAGGUUUCCUGCUUAAAGUUAAUCUGAGCAGGGUUAGUCGGAACCUAAGGCGAGGCCGAAAGGCGUAGUCGAUGGAAAUCAGGUUAAUAUUCCUGAACCGAGUGGUGAGUGACGGAGUGUUCUUUUCUGUAUCUUCUUAUUGGAUUGAAGGUGCAGCGAAGUUACUUCCAGGAAAUAGCCCCACGUUAAGUCCGUACCAAAACCGACACAGGUAGAUGGGUUGAGAAUACUAAGGCGCUUGAGAGAACUACACUGAAGGAACUAGGCAAAAUGCAUCCGUAACUUCGGGAGAAGGAUGGCCUACCGUGGCGCAAGCUGCGAUAGGUGGCACAUAAAUGGGGGUAGCAACUGUUUACCAAAAACACAGGGCUCUGCUAAAUCAUUAAGAUGAGGUAUAGGGUCUGACGCCUGCCCGGUGCUGGAAGGUUAAUUGAUGGUGUGCAAGCACCUGAUAGAAGCCCCAGUAAACGGCGGCCGUAACUAUGACGGUCCUAAGGUAGCGAAAUUCCUUGUCGGGUAAGUUCCGACCCGCACGAAUGGCGUAAUGACUUCCCCGCUGUCUCCAGUGUAGACUCAGUGAAAUUGAAUUUGCCGUUAAGAUGCGGUAUUCCUGCGGUUAGACGGAAAGACCCCGUGCACCUUUACUAUAACUUUACACUGAACUCAAAAAUAAGAUAUGUAGGAUAGGUGGUAGACUUUGAAGCCAGAUCGCUAGGUUUGGUGGAGUCGUCCUUGAAAUACCACUUUUCUUCUUUUUGAUUUCUAACUAGAGCACCUCUAUCGGUGCUUAGGACACUGUAUGGUGGGUAGUUUGACUGGGGCGGUCGCCUCCCAAAGAGUAACGGAGGCGCGCAAUGGUAAGCUCAGACUGGUCGGAAAUCAGUUUUAGAGUGCAAUGGCAAAAGCUUGCCUGACUGCGAGACCUACAAGUCGAGCAGAGUCGAAAGACGGUCAUAGUGAUCCGGUGGUUUCUGUAUGGAAGGGCCAUCGCUCAACGGAUAAAAGGUACGCCGGGGAUAACAGGCUGAUGAUUCCCAAGAGUUCAUAUCGACGGAAUCGUUUGGCACCUCGAUGUCGGCUCAUCACAUCCUGGGGCUGAAGAAGGUCCCAAGGGUUCGGCUGUUCGCCGAUUAAAGUGGUACGUGAGCUGGGUUCAGAACGUCGUGAGACAGUUCGGUCCCUAUCUGCCGCAGGUGUUGGAAAAUUGAGAGGAGUUGACUUUAGUACGAGAGGACCGAGUUGAACAUACCAAUGGUGUUCCAGUUGUUCCGCCAGGAGCAUUGCUGGGUAGCUAAGUAUGGACGGGAUAACCGCUGAAAGCAUCUAAGUGGGAAGCCUCCCUCAAAACAAGUUUUCCCUAUUAGGGCCGUGGAAGACUACCACGUUGAUAGGCUGGGUGUGUAAGGGCAGUGAUGCUUUAAGCUAACCAGUACUAAUAACCCGAUUGGCUUAUUUUU